rnacentral:piRNA from 1 species
UAGCAUUACUCUAAGCAUACCUCCACGGCG